AAUGAACGCUGGCGGCGUGCCUAACACAUGCAAGUCGGAUGUGCCGCAAGGUGCAUGGCAGACGGGUGAGUAACGCGUAGGGAAUCUACCUUUUUGUGGGGAAUAACGCUCCGAAAGGAGUGGUAAUACCGCAUGAGACCGUGGCCUGGGAUGGUUACGGUGAAACCUGGGGACCGCAAGGCCUGGGGCAAAAAGAGGAUCCUGCGUCUGAUUAGCUAGUUGGCGGGGUAAUGGCCCACCAAGGCGACGAUCAGUAGCCGGCCUGAGAGGGUGAUCGGCCACACUGGAACUGAGACACGGUCCAGACUCCACGGGAGGCAGCAGUGGGGAAUUUUGCGCAAUGGACGAAAGUCUGACGCAGCAACGCCGCGUGGGUGAUGAAGGUCUUCGGACUGUAAAACCCUGUCGUCAGGGACGAAGGUGGCAGUGUUAAUAGCGCUGUUACUUGACGGUACCUGGAGAGGAAGCCCCGGCUAACUCUGUGCCAGCAG
rnacentral:rRNA from 1 species